GACGAACGCUGGCGGCGUGCCUAAUACAUGCAAGUCGAACGCUGAAGGAGGAGCUUGCUUCUCUGGAUGAGUUGCGAACGGGUGAGUAACGCGUAGGUAACCUGCCUGGUAGCGGGGGAUAACUAUUGGAAACGAUAGCUAAUACCGCAUAAUAGCAGUUAUUGCAUGAUAACUGUUUGAAAGGUGCAAUUGCACCACUACCAGAUGGGCCUGCGUUGUAUUAGCUAGUUGGUGGGGUAACGGCUCACCAAGGCGACGAUACAUAGCCGACCUGAGAGGGUGAUCGGCCGCACUGGGACUGAGACACGGCCCAGACUCCUACGGGAGGCAGCAGUAGGGAAUCUUCGGCAAUGGACGGAAGUCUGACCGAGCAACGCCGCGUGAGUGAAGAAGGUUUUCGGAUCGUAAAGCUCUGUUGUAAGAGAAGAACGAGUGUGAGAGUGGAAAGUUCACACUGUGACGGUAGCUUACCAGAAAGGGACGGCUAACUACGUG
rnacentral:rRNA from 1 species